AUUCCUUUUCUAUUCUUCAGCAUGUAGAUGAUGAAGCUUUACCUAGUGUAGUUGCACAUUGCUAUGUCAACACAAUGCCUUGAUGAUUCUACUAGAUUAGCAUAUUUCUUUGAUAAAAGCAAUAGAGUUAGCACAUCAUGCUUUGCAUGUUGCACACUUAUGGCAGCUUGAUUUGGAGAAACAGAAAGAAGAGGCGGAAGCAGAUGGUGGAGCUCAGGCAGUAGAGGGGCCGAUCUCAUCAUGAUGGUAGAGGGGCAAACAGAGAUCAAUCAGUCAUCCCAAGCUAACAAGAGAGCUGGGAUACAAAGUAAGAAAACAAGUGGAAAAUGAAGAUUCUCUUUUGGAACAUCAGAGGGCUGGGAGGGGCAGGAAGAAGAAGAUAUCUAGUAGAGUUGUGCUAGCAGUACAAUUUUCAAUGUGUCUGUCUACAAGAGACUAUUAAAGCAACCUACAAUGCAGGGAACUUGACAUUUUUAGUAGAUGGUUUAAUUUGCAUUGGAACUGGGUACCAAAGGGGGCAUUCAGGAGUUGCUGAUGGGUGUCUCCAAGUAUGUAGUAGAAGUGUUGCAAGAAGACCAGGGAGAUUUCUUUCACAACAUGAGGCUUAAGAGGGUGAUGACUCUAUCAAAUAGGAACUCAUAUAAUGUGUAUGGUCCAAUGUAGGAUGAGAAGGAAAAUGGAGCUUCUUUUGAAGCUAAAUACUUGGGACUGCCUACUCCAUCGGGCAGGAUGAAAGGUAACCGGUUUCAGCCGUUGAAAGAGAGAAUGGGAAAGCGCUUGAAGGAUUACACGGAGAAAAAUAUAUCGCCGGCAGCAAAGGAAAUCCUCAUCAAAUCGGGCUUUGGGAGGGCCCAUGGUGCAAAGGUGACAGAGCACACACCCCUGCUCCAUUGCUCUAGCUACGACACGAUCCCCGGGCGGCUUCCUUGAUCUGACUACCUACAACCAAGGAGAAACAAAAAGUCCAGCAAGCAACAACCUGAAAGGAUGAGUCGUGAGAUCGCAAAAGAUCUUGCUGACAAGUUAGUGGAGAUACGGAAAGAUAAUCUUAAAUGGUAUGACACCAAGACCAAACUCCAUGAACGGAAUCCAGAUGGAUACACAAAACCAAAACAGGCAGUUGUUGGUGGUGUUGUCAGGUCUUACAAGUUUAGCUAUGAAGAGGGAAAGGAGAUAGCUCAAGGCUCUAUGAAAAUUAUGUUCAGUAUAGAUGCAUCUUGCGAAUGUGAUGUAGCUAUGAAGAGGGAAAGGAGAUAGCUCAACGCUCUAUGAAAAUUAUGUUCAGUAUAGAUGCAUCUUGCGAAUGUGAUGUGAUCACAUCACAUUCGCAAGAGAAUGUGAUGUGAUCGUGAUGUGAUCACAUCACAUUCGCAAGAGAAUGUGAUGUGAUCACAUCACAUUCGCAAGAUGCAUCUAUACUGAACAUAAUUUUCAUAGAGUCUUGAGCUAUCUCCUUUCCCUCUUCAUAGCUAAACUUGUAAGACCUGACAACACCACCAACAACU